GAUGAAGAACGCAGCGAAAUGCGAUAAGUAAUGUGAAUUGCAGAAUUCAGUGAAUCAUCGAGUCUUUGAACGCACAUUGCGCCCCCUGGUAUUCCGGGGGGCAUGCCUGUCCGAGCGUCAUUGCUGCCCUCAAGCACGGCUUGUGUGUUGGGCCCCCGCCCCCCGGCUUCGGGGGGCGGGCCCGAAAGGCAGCGGCGGCACCGCGUCCGGUCCUCGAGCGUAUGGGGCUUCGUCACCUGCUCUGUAGGCCCGGCCGGCGCCCGCCGGCGACCCCAAUCAAUCUUUCCAGGUUGACCUCGGAUCAGGUAGGGAUACCCGCUGAACUUAAGCAUAUCAAUAAGCGGAGGA
rnacentral:misc_RNA from 1 species